UACGUAGGGUGCGAGCGUUAAUCGGAAUUACUGGGCGUAAAGUGUGCGCAGGCGGCCGAGCAAGUCGAGUGUGAAAGCCCCGAGCUUAACUUGGGAACUGCGCUCGAAACUACUUGGCUAGAGUGUGGCAGAGGGAGGUGGAAUUCCACGUGUAGCGGUGAAAUGCGUAGAGAUGUGGAGGAACACCGAUGGCGAAGGCAGCCUCCUGGGCCAACACUGACGCUCAUGCACGAAAGCGUGGGGAGCAAACGGG
rnacentral:rRNA from 1 species